CCUACGCGGAGGCGACCAGAUCGCAAGCGAACGGAACAUCAGGGACUCGUCCCCUUCCCCGCUCUCCUCUGCCGAUUUUAUCAUCCCAAACACUGAAGAUUUCCCAUUUCUUUUUGGCGUUGGGAGGAUCCCUAAUCGCGAUACCGAAUCGGUCGGCUGCGAGUGCUAUAAGGAUCGGAGGGUUCGUGGGACGUUAGCCGUGGGGGACGGAACGCCCUACAUCCAAGACGGUGGGAGGAUCACUGGCUACAUCAUCCGAUACAAAAUUGUGUAGAUCGGAUCACACAUGAGCAACACUACUCCCUAAGAAGAUUUCAGGUGGUGGUCAUCAUCUUAGUUUGAGAUCUGCCAAAAGAGAGGACCAUAACAAGAUUUAGGUCAAAGAAGGAUCUCUCCCAGUGUAAACUAAAUAUUGUCACCUCUGAGUUCUUGUCACAUACACGCCUUCACAGCUCCCUGUUCUGGCGACUUACCUAAAGGUAGGGGAAGACGGCCCUGUGCAACCUCAGCUAGAGGACAGGCAGUUAUAUUGCAGAGCUCAUCAGGUUCUUGCAAAUAUUCUGCAUUCAGUGAAACAAUGUUGUCGAGCUGUCUUGUGUGAGCUUACCUGGAGACCCCGUCGAUGAACAUGAAGCUGGCUGGUAGGAGAAGGUCCCUUGCUGGUUGUUGCGAUCUUGCAUUCAUGCUGGGAUAUGGAUGUCUGUGUCCAAUGGACACAGAUUGCUGCUCUGACAGCUAACUAUACUCAAUAAAAGUUUGCAUGCGAUGCAUUAUAGACGCUACGCAGACAUGGUGUACAGUACCAAAGUCUACCUUGACCAUGCAUGCAUUCCUACAAUGUCAAACAGCGUGCGGCGCCAUGAUAUAUCCUUGUAACAAGAGACCCAAAAUUGCGCUGUUUUGAACUAUUUAUGAUGGUGACGACAGAGACAGUGUGCAAAUUAACUGAGCACUAGAACACCAUGAUUUGGGAAGGAGGGCUUCUUUAAUGGGCGUCGCCAGAUUUCCGGUGACCCGGAGAUCACGGGAUUGUGUGCCCAAGACCAGGAGACAGGAUGAUCGCUGUUCGAGGCUGCCCUCAGUUGCCUCUCACUCACUCUCCCAUCAACACUAUUUAUAGGAAGGCAUGAGGAAGAAAGAUAGAAACGGAUAGGAAGCUGAGAUCGUCUUUUCUUUCUUUCUGAUAAGCUUCAGUUUGAGAGAUAUGGUCAUACUACUGCAGCAGUAAUAAGCGAGAUGUGCGCGGUGAGUUGGCUUGGAAAUAAAAUGGAAAUGGUGGCCAUCUACUGCUUCA